GGUACGAGGAAGAUAGGGGAGUAGUAAGGUGAACACAAACAAAUAAUAGAUCCCCCUGCCUCAAAAGUAUUUGAGUAUCUUAGUUUGUGUGUGCAUUGGACAUUUCCCCCUUUCCAUUUUAUUCUUAUAGCUAUGCAUUGCUAUUUUCAAGAGUGGUGAACAACGCCAUUUGACCCCACUUUUACUAGCAAGCCAGCCAGGUCUCCAGCAGGAGUACAAGCGCAGCUAGAUGAGGUGGUGGAUGAGGUGGUGUAAGAGCAACUAGCUGAGGUGGUGCAAGAGCAGCUAGGUGAGGUGGUGUAAGAACAGCUAAUUGAGGUGGUGUAAGAGCAGCUGGAUGAGGUGGUGGAUGAGGUGGUGUAAGAGCAACUAGCUGAGGUGGUGCAUGAGCAGCUAGGUGAGGUGGUGUAAGAACAGCUAGGUGAGGUGGUGUAAGAACAGCUAAUUGAGGUGGUGUAAGAGCAGCUAGAUGAGGUGGUGUAAGAGCAGCUAGUUGAGGUGGUGUAAGAACAGCUAAUUGAGGUGGUGUAACAACAGCUAAUUGAGGUGGUGGAUGAGGUGGUGUAAGAGCCCUCAUUUGGUAGUGGUCCAGGGGGGAGUCAUGAGGUCUGGAUCAAGGACAUCCUUAUUGAUCAUGAAUAUUAAAUACAAAAUUAACAUUCCUGUUUAUA
ensembl:lncRNA